rnacentral:lncRNA from 1 species
UUCAUGAGUUACCGCUCCGUUUUUCCCAUUUCUGCAUCUUUAUGUGUUGUUCAGUUGUAUUAUGUGGUAUCGGGUUGGUUAGUUCGGGUUCAGAGUGAUUUUGGAGUGGAAUGAGACACUUCGUCUCUUAAGUUGGCCUUUUAGUUGGAAAAGUCAACUGGAAGUUGACUUGAGAGUAAAUGAUCUCGGAAUUUAUUUUUUAUGGUUCUGAUAGCUUCGUUAGGUGAUUUGGGACUUAGGAGCGUGAUCAGAAUGUAUUUGGAGGUCUGUGGUAGAUUUAUGCUUGAAUUGGCGAAAUUGGAAUUUUGGCGUUUUCCGGUUGGUAGUGGAAAUUUUGAUAUCGGGGUAGGAAUAGAAUUUUGAAAAUUGGAAUAGAUCCGUUGUAUCAUUUGGGACGUGUGUGCAAAGUUUCAGAUCAUUCGGAUGAGGUUUGAUAGACUUUUUGAUCGUUUGCGAAAUUCAGAAGUUUUGGAAUCCUUAGGCUUGAAUCAUAGGGUUUUUGUUGUUGUUUUGAGUGUUCUGAAGGUUGGAAUAAGUUUGAAUAGUGAUAUGUGACUUGUUGGAAUAUUUGGUUGAGGUCCCGAGGGCCUCAGGAUGGUUUUGGAUGGUUGGCGAAAGAUUUGGAGUUUGAGUGUAGCUGCAGAAUUUUUUGCUUCUGUUGUUUCCGCAACUGCGUUGAUCGCAGGUGCGUAGGGCUGACCGCAGGAGCAGAUUUAGUCGCAGGAAUGGAUGGAUAACCGCACCUGCGGGCCCGUAGGUGCAUGGCCUGGGGCGCAAGUGCGGAAGUUGGUCUCUUAAGUGAAAAUCAAAGAAGCGGGAUUAUUUCCGCAGAAGCGGUAGCACAGGUGCGCUUAAGGGACCGCAGAUGCAGAAUCCCUAGGUCAAAAACUAUAUAAGCAUUCCUUUACGAUUUUCAGCUUAUCUUCUCUAUUUUUGAUACGGGUUUGGAACUUUUUGAGGGGAUUUGAAGAGGGAUUCAAAGGAUAACGCUUGGAAGUAAGAUUUUUGAACCCAAUACUCGAUUUUAUGACAUUAUCUUACCGAUUAGGCUUGAAAUUAUUGGAAAUUAAUGGUUAAAAUUGGAGAAUUAGGGGUUGGUAUUGGAUAAUUUCCAUUGGGGAUUUGAGGGGCAUUUGGGGUCCGAUUUUGAUGUUCUUGGUAUGCAUAGACUCGUGGGAGGAUGAGGCUUCUAGUGAUGUAAUUUUUACCGAAAUUCGAGACGUGGGUCUGGGGGUUGGGUUUGGCCAAUUUCGGGAUUUUUGAUGUAAUUUGAUUAUUUUCACUUGGGCUUUGUUCCUUUAGCGCGUAUUAAUGGUAUGAAUCUAGUUUUGGUUAGAUUCGGAGAAUUUGGAGGCCGAUUCGAGAGACAAGGGCAUCGCAGGCUAGAGUUUGGACCGGAUUGAGGUAAGUAAUGAUUGUAAAUGUUGUCCUAAGGGUAUGAAACCCCAGAUUUUCACAUCGUGGUACUACUUUGAGGUGACGUACACGCUAGAUGACGAGAGUGAGGUCGUGCACCGUUGGGGAUUGUGACUUGUUCCGUCCCGUACGACUGCUAAGUCGCGUAUUUGAUUGAAAAUUGUUCGAUAUUAUUGUGUUUUGGAAAAUAUUACUAUGUUUUGGGUUGAAUGCCAUAUUUGGGACUCGUGCCAACUGUUUUGGACCCUUAGGGGCUUUUUACUUCUAUUCCUUACUGUUUUGACUUAAUAUUUGUACUCAGUCAUGUUGUAUUCUACUAUUUUCAUAACUCAGCCGUAUUUACUCCAUUUUGAUAUUUUAAAUGAUAUUUCGGGCUGAGCAUCAUGUUUUACUAUUGCCUGAGUGGCUUGAGAGGUUUCUGACUAAGUGGGGCUGAUGGCCUGUGUUGUGAGGAUAUUAUGGGAUCGGGAGGAUAUUAUGGGAUCGUGCUGCGCGCCGCAACAUGUUGUACUGAUUUGUGAUAUAUGAGAGGUUGAGGGCAUGAUUUGUUAUGCCACGAGAUGGCUUGUGAUAGCGCUUGGGCUGUAGGAGCCCCUCCGAAGUCUGAACUCCCCCAAUGAAUGCGGGUACCCAGUGUGAGAGAUGUGUUAUUGCCGGAUGAGCUGUUGUUGUUUCAUAUUGUUGCCCAAGGAGCUAAUUACGAGUGAUUGUGAGGUAGCCCGAGGGGCUGGUUCUAUUGAUAUUUUGCCCGAGGGGCGGUUUGUGGUACAUGUUUUUCCUGAUGGGCUGUUUAAGUUUCUAUUUUUACUCACUGCUUUUAUCACUCGUUUGAAACUAUUGAAAGAUGUUUUAAAUAGGUUUUACUGAACUGAGUUGUUUUUAUGAGUUAAUUGAUUUAUUGUAUUGUACUGGACAUAUACUGUUUUGCUGUAGUUCUAUGGCGUGGAAUUACCUGUUUUGUUACUGCUUAGAUGCUUUUACUUUUAUUACUUACUAAGUUGGCGUACUCACAUUACUCCCUACACCUUGUGUGCAGAUCCAAGAGUCUCGGGACGCGAUAGUGAGUGCUGAUCAGUCUUCCAGCAGGUCUCUAGAGUUGGCUAGGUAACUGUUUGGCGUUUGCAACCCUACACUUCUCCUUCUUAUCUUCUCAGCUUGGCUUUGUAUUUUAUUUUCGGACUAUGUUAGCCUUUCUUGUUCCUAGAAGAGUUUGUAGUUGCUCAUGACUGGUGACACUCCGAUGUCAGACUUGUGUUAUAUUUUCGCGCUGCUUAUUUAAACUUAUAUUAUGGGAUUUUAGUUAAUUAAUGGCUUAAAAUGACUUCCUAUGGUUUUCUGGUUGGUUUUGGGUUUGUGUCGGCUGACCUAGUUUCACGAUAGGUGCCAUCACAAUCGGGUCAGUUUUAGGGUCGUGACAAGUUGGUAUCAGAGCCUAGGUUACAUAAGUCUCACGAGUCAUGGGCAGGUUUAGUAAAUUCUCGCGGAUCGGUACGGAGACAUCUGUACUUAUCCUCGGGAGGUUGCAGAACCUUUAGGAAAAACUUCAAAUUCUUGAAUUCCUGUCGUGCGAAUCUGUUGAUUCUGGUAACUGAACUUUUGUUAUUCUAUUCUCUCACAGAUGGUGAGGACACAUGCUACCGGUCAGGACGAGCGACCACAAGUUCCACCAGUUGGGGCCUCUAGAGGCCAAGGACCUGGUCGAGGCCGUGGUAGGGGCAGGGGUGUAGCCCGCACAGCAGCUAGGGCAGCACCUACAGAUCCACCUGCCGCCCCAGUUCAUGAUCAGGUCCCAGUUGUGGAUGCUCUAGCAGCACCAGCUCAGGCACCGGUUGUGCCUAUUGUGAUUCCAGGCCUUCAGGAUGCCCUAGCCCAAAUUUUAUUAGUGUGCACUGGCCUAGCUCAGGCAGUCUCAAUUACUAAAGCCGCAGCUGCUUCCCAGGCCGGGGGAGGCACUCAGACUCCUGCCACUCGCACACUUGAGCAGGUCAUGCAGGGACUUCAGACACCAAGGGCACUUCCAGCCCAGCCGGUUGCAGCUGCUCAGGACUAUGUAGCCCCUGUUAUGCCAGAGGAAGAGCAGCGCAGAUUAGAGAGGUUUGGUAUACUUCAGCCUCCGACUUUCAGUGGUGUAGAGGGCGAGGAUGCCCAGGGUUUCUUGGAUAAGUGUCAGAGGAUGCUUCAGACCGCAGGUAUUCUGGAGAUCAGUAGGGUCUCAUUCACUACUUUCUAGUUCUCCGGGGCUGCACUUAGUUGGUGGGAGGCUUACGAUAGGCAUAGGUCAGUUGGCGCAGCAUCCCUUUCUUUGCAGCAGUUCUCCGUUCUCUUUCUAGAGAAGUUUUUACCUGAGUCUCGCCAAGAGGAGCUGCGCAGGCAGUUUGAGCAGCUUUGUUAGGGUGACAGAUCUAUUACACAGUAUGAGAUGCGGUUCUUUAAGUUGGUUUGUCAUGCGGUUUGGUUGGUUCCCACAGAUCGGGAGAGGAUUAGGAGGUUUAUAGAUGGCCUCGUUUUUCAGCUUCGGUUGCUCAUGACCAGAGAGAGUAUCUGGUGCUACCUUUGAUGAGGUUGUUGAUAUAGCUCAACAUAUUGAGAUGGCUCGUGUCCAGUAGAGGGUUGAGAGGGAGGCUAAGAGGCCUCGUAGUCAGGGUGGAUUCAGUGGUACUCUUCACGGAGGUUAGUUUCAGCACAGCAGAGGCCGUCCACUUAGGCAUGCUCAGUCAGCUCGCGCAAUUAUUGUGGGGCAUCAUCGGGCCAUGGUUCUCACAGUUCUCAUCAGGGUCAUUCCUCACUUAGUGCCCUUCCAGCCCAGAGUUCAUCCCGUGCUCCAUCAGUUCAGGGCUCUUCUAUGCCAGGUUCUUCUGCUAGUCAUUCCAGUGCUAGGGGUUCCCUUCAGUCCCCAUCUCCAGUACCAGGGGGUUGUUAUGAGUGUGGAGAGUUGGAUCAUAUGUGGAGACAAUGUCCUCGUCAUCUUUGGGGUUCAUCUCAGCAGAGGAGUCAACCAUCGACUUCAGCACCAGUUACUUCACCACCCACCUAGCCAGGUAAGGGUCGCCCUAUAGGGGGUGGUCAAUCAUGGGGCGUUUCUAUGCACUCCCAGUUAGACCCAAUGUUAUUGCUUCAGAUGUUGUGAUUACAGGUAUUGUCUUAGUUUUCCAUAGAGAUGCCUCAGUGUUAUUUGAUCCUGGUUUUACUUAUUCAUAUGUGUCAUCAUAUUUUGCUCCUUAUUUGGAUACCCCCGUGAGUAUCUUGUUUCACCUGUUCAUGUAUCUACUCCAGUGGGAGAUACUAUUAUUGUGGACUGCGUGUCUCGAUCGUGUGUGGUGACUAUUGGGGGUUUGGAGACCCCAGUGGACCUUCUGUUGCUUUGUAUGGUUGACUUUGAUGUGAUAUUAGGCAUGGAUUGGCUAUCUCCAUGUCGUGCUAUUUUAGACUAUGCUAAGACAGUGACGUUUGCAAUGCCGGGUGUGCCACAGAUUGAGUAGCUAGGUUCAACCGAUUUUGUUCCCAGUAGGCUGAUUUCAUUUUUGAAGGCCCAUCGGAUGGUUGGGAAAGGUUGCCUUUCAUACGUAGCUUUUGUGAGAGAUGCAGAGACUCGUACCAUUGAUUCGGUCCUGGUAGUGAGGGACUUUCUGGAUGUGUUUCCUGCAGACCUGCCGGGCAUGCCACCGGAUAGGGAUAUUGAUUUUGGUAUUAAUUUGGUGCAGGGCACUCAGCCCAUUUCUAUUCCACCAUAUCGUAUGGUACUAGUGGAGUUGAAUCAGUUGAAGGAGAAGCUUUAGGAACUCCUUGAUAAGGGGUUUAUUCGGCAUAGUGUGUCGCUUUGGGGUGCGCCUAUUCUAGUUGUGAAGAAGAAGGAUGGCACGAUGAGGAUGUGCAUUGAUUACAAGCAGUUGAAUAAAGUCACAAUCAAGAAUAAGUAUCCUUUGCCUCGUAUCAAUGAUUUAUUUGACUAGCUUCAGGGAGCGAAGGUAUUCUCCGAGAUUGAUCUCCGUUCAGGGGAUCACCAGUUGAAGAUUAGGGACUUAGAUAUUCUUAAGACAACCUUCAGGACCCGAUACGGUCAUUAUAAGUUCCUCAUGAUGUCUUUUGGGCUGACCAAUGCCCCAACAAUGUUCAUGCAUUUGAUAAACAAUGUGUUUCGGCCUUAUCUAGAUUCGUUUGUGAUUGUUUUCAUUGAUGAUAUUCUCAUGUACUCGCGUAGUCAGGAGGAGCAUGUAGAUCAUUUGAGAGUUGUGUUGCAGAGAUUGAGGGAGAAGAAGCUUUAUGCAAAGUUCUCCAAAUGUGAAUUUUGGAUCAAUUCAGUGGCUUUCUUGGGGCAUAUGCAUCUAGUGAAGGUAUUUAGGUUGAUCCGAAGAAGAUAGAGGCGGUUUAAAGUUGGCCCAGACCGUCCUCAGCCAUAGAGAUUCACAGCUUUCUUGGUUUGGCGUGUUAUUACUGUCGGUUCAUUUAGGGAUUUUCAUCUAUUGCAUCACCCUUGACCAAAUUGACUCAAAAGGGUGCUCCAUUCAGGUGGUUGGAUGGGUGUGAGGCGAGUGUUUAGAAGCUCAAGAUUACCUUGACCACAACUCUAGUGUUAGUUUUGCCAUCAACUUCAGGUUCAUAUACAGUGUAUUAUGAUGCUUCGAGAGUUGGUAUUGGGUGUGUUUUGAUGCAGAAGGGUAGAGUGAUUGCUUAUGCUUCUCGUCAGUUGAAGCCUCAUGAGAAGAACUACCUUAUUCAUGAUCUAGAGUUGGCUGCCAUUGUUAAUGCAUUGAAGAUUUGGAGGCAUUAUCUCUAUGGCGUGUCUUGUGAGGUGUUUACUAAUUAUCGUAGCCUCCAGCACUUGUUCAAAUAGAAGGAUCUCAAUUUGAGGCAACGGAGAUGGUUGGAGCUGCUAAAGGACUAUGAUAUUACCAUCUUGUAUCACCCAGAGAAGGCCAAUGUAGUGGCCAAUGCUUUAAGUAGGAAGGCGGUGAGUAUGAGUAGUUUGGCAUAUAUUCCUGUUGGGGAGAGACCUCUUGCAGUUGAUGUUCAGGCCUUGGCCAAUAGGUUUGUGAGGUUAGAUAUUUCGGAGCGCAGUCAGGUCUUAGCUUGUGUGGUUUCUCGGUCUUCCUUAUUUGAUCGCAUCAGAGAGCGCCAGUAUGAUGAUCCUCAUUUGCUUGUCCUUAAGGACAGAGUUCAACACGACGAUGCCAGAGAUGUGACUAUUGGUGAUGAUGGGGUAUUGAGGAUAAAGGGCAGGAUAUAUGUGCCCAAUGUAGAUGGGCUUCGGGAGUUGAUUCUGGAGGAGGCCCAUAGCUCACGGUACUCCAUUCAUCCGGGUGCCACAAAGAUCUAUCAGGAUCUAAGACAAUAUUAUUGGUGGAUGAGAAUGAAGAAAGAUAUUGUGGGAUUUAUAGCUUGGUGUCUCAAUUGUUAGCAGGUGAAAUAUGAGCAUCAGAGACCGGGUGACUUGCUUCAGCAGAUGGAUAUUCCAGAGUGGAAGUGGGAGCGGAUCACCAUGGAUUUUGUAGUUGGACUCCCAUAGAUUUUGAAGAAGUUCGAUGCUAUUUGGGUGAUUGUGGAUCGACUGACCAAGUCUGCGCACUUUAUUCCUGUAUGUACUACCAAUUCUUCAGAGCGGUUAGCAGAGGUUUAUAUUCGUGAGAUUGUUCGCUUGCAUGGGGUUCCAGUUUCCUUCAUUUCAGACAGAGGUACUCAGUUCACAUUGCAAUUUUGGAGGGCCGUGCAGAGAGAGUUGGGUACUCAAGUUGAGUUGAGCACAAAUUUUCACCCUCAGACGGACAGGCAGUCUGAGCGCACUAUUCAGACAUUGGAGGACAUGUUGUGCACUUGUAUCAUUGAUUUUGGUGGUUCAUGGGAUCAGUUUCUACCCCUCGCGGAGUUUGCCUAUAACAACAGUUAUUAGUCGAGUAUCCAGAUGGCUCCAUAUGAGGCUUUAUAUGAGAGACGGUGUAGAUCUCCAGUUGGUUGGUUUGAGCCCGGCGAGGCGAGGCUUUUGGGUACAGACUUGGUGCAAGAUUCUUUAGACAAGGGGAAGGUGAUUCAGGAGCGGCUUCGCAAAGUGCAGUCGAGACAAAAGAGUUAUGCUGGUAGGAAGGUUCGUGAUGUGUCCUACAUGGUUGGGGAGAAGGUUCUAUUGAAGGUUUCACCCAUGAAGGGUGUUAUGAGAUUUGGGAAGAGGGGUAAAUUGAGUCCCCGGUUCAUUGGGCCUUUUGAGGUGCUUCGGAGGAUUGGGGAGGUAGCUUAUGAGCUGGCCUUGCCACCUCGCUUGUCGAGUGCGCAUCCGGUAUUUCUUGUUUCUAUGCUCCGGAAGUAUAUUGGCGAUCCGUCUCAUGUUUUGAAUUUCAUCACGGUUCAGUAAGACAGUGAUUUGACUUAUGAUGUGGAGCCAAUGGCUAUUUUGGAGCGACAGGUCCGAAAGUUGAGGUCAAAGGAUAUAGCUUUAGUAAAAGUGCAGUGGAGAGGUCGCCUCGUGGAGGAGGCUACCUGGGAGACCGAGCAGGAGAUGCGGAGCAGAUAUCCUCACCUAUUUGAGGCUUCGGGUGCAUUUCUUGACUCAUUCGAGGACGAAUGUUUGUUUAAGAGGGGGAGGAUGUCACGACCCGACCGGUCGUUUCAUGAUUUACCGCUCCGUUUCCCACAUUUCUGCUUCUUUAUGUGUUGUUUAGUUGUAUUAUGUGGUAUCGGGUAGGUUAGUUCGGGUUCGGAGUAGUUUUGGAGAGGAAUGAGACACUUAGUCUCUUAAGUUGGCCUUUUAGUUGGAAAAGUCAAUCGGAAGUUGACUUGAGAGUAAAUGAUCUCGAAAUUUGAUUUUUAUGGUUCUGAUAGCUUCUUUAGGUGAAUUGGGACUUAUGAGCGUGAUCAGAAUGUAUUUUGGAGGUCCGUGGUAAAUUUAGGCUUGAACCGGCGAAAUUGAAAUCUUGGCAUUUUUCGAUUGGUAGUGGAAAUUUUGAUAUCGUGGUCGGAAUGGAAUUCCAAAAAUUGGAAUAGGUCCAUUGUGUCAUUUGGGACGUGUGUGCAAAAUUUUAGGUCAUUCGGAUGGGGUUUGAUAGACUUUUUGAUUGUUUGCAAAAUUUGGAAGUUUUGGAAUCCUUAGACUUGAAUCUGAGGGUGUUUUGGUGUUGUUUUUAGUGUUUCGAAGGUUGGAAUAAGUUUGAAUAGUGAUAUGUGACUUGUUGUCAUGUUUGGUUGAGGUCCCGAAGGCGUCAGGAUGGUUUUGGAUGGUUGGCGGAAGAUUUGGAGUUUGAGUGUAGCUGCAGAGUUUUUUGCUUCUGUUGUUUCCGCACAUGCGGAUUGGGGACCGCAGGUGCGUAGGGCUGACUGCAGGAGCGGAUGGAUAACUGAACCUGCAGGCCCGCAGGUGCGUGGCCUGGGGCACAAGUGCAAAAGUUGGCCUCUUAAGUGAAAACCCCAGAAGCGAGAUAAUUUCCACAGAAGCGGUAGCGCAGGUGCGCUUAAGGGACCGCAUAUGCGGAAUCCCUGGGUCAGAAACUAUAUAAGCAUUCCGUCACGAUUUUCAGCUUAUCUUCUCCAUUUUUGAGAUGUGUUUGGAGAUUUUUGAGGGGAUUUGAAGAGGGAGUCAAGUGAUAACGCUUGAAGGUACGAUUUUUGAACCCAAUACUCGAUUUUAUGGCAUUAUCUUACUGAUUAGGCUUGAAAUUAUUGGAAAUUAAGGGUUAAAAUUGGAGAACUAGGGCUUGGUAUUGGAGAGUUUCCAUUGGGGAUUUGAGGGGAUAUUUGGGGUCCGAUUUUGAUAUUCUUCGUAUGUAUAGACUCGUGGGAGGAUGAGGAUUCUAGUGAUGUGAUUUUUACCGAAAUCUGAGACGUGGGCCCGGGGGUCGGAUUUGGCCAAUUUCGUGAUUUUUGAUGCAUUGAUUAUUUUCGCUUGGGCUUUGUUCCUUUAGCGCGUAUUAAUGGUAUGAAUCUGGUUUUGGUUAGAUUCAGAGCAUUUAGAGGCCGAUUCGAGAGGCUGGGGCAUCGCAGGCUAGAGAUGGACCGGAUUGAGGUAAGUAAUGAUUGUAAAUGUUGUCCGGAGUGUAUGAAACCCCGGAUUUUCACAUCGUGCUGCUACUUUAAGGUGACGUACAUGCUAGAUGACGAGUGUGGGGUCAUGCACCAUUGGAGAUUGUGACUUGAUCCGUCCCGUACGACUGUUAAGUUGCGCAUUUAGGGGCUUUUUACUAUUAUUCCUCAUUGUUUUGACUUAAUAUCUGUACUCAGUCAUGUUGUAUUUUAUUAUUUUCAUAACUCAGUCGUAUUUACUCCGUUUUGAUAUUUUAAAUGAUAUUUCGGGCUGAGCAUCACGUUUUACUAUUGCCCGAGUGGCUUGAGAGGUUUCUGACUGAGUGAGACCGAUGGCCUGUGUUGUGAGGAUAUUAUGGGAUCGGGCUGUGCGCCGCAGCAUGUUGUACUGAUUUGUGAUAUAUGAGAGGCCGAGGGCCUGAUUUGUUAUGCCACGAGAUGGCUUGUGAUAUCGCUUGGGCUAUAGGAGCCCUUCCGGAGUCUGGACACCCCCAGUGAGCGCGGAGUACUCAGUGUGAGAGAUGUGUUAUUGUCGGAGGGGCUGUUGUUGUUUCAUGUUAUUGCCGAGGGGCUGAUUACGAGUGAUUGUGAGGUAGCCCGAGGGGCUGGUUCUGUUGAUAUUUUGCCUGAGGGGCGGUUUGUGGUACAUGUUUUAC